AGGAUAUAUGUGAGUGCCAGCUUAUUCCCUGCCAAUGUAUGGCCUGAGAAGAUUGUGAUGUACAAUCCUUUUCUUUCCCGAGGGACCCCUGGAAAUCUCAUAAAUAAGGGAUCAACAGGAAGUCUGGGGGUAUCAUGGCGACCAUAUAACAAAUCUACAGGGAGCUCAACUUCUCUUCCCAGCAUAAGUAUACUAGGGGACUCUCCGGUACUCUCAUGGGUCGAGGAUCUGUAGGCCAACAUCAAUAGGGGUCAGACUCGAACUGAGUGCCUUGGUCAGUAUGGACUUGACGGGGGACACCAAACCGACAGAUGAAUUGGAAAACAAAGGCCAAUAGAAUCUCUGACGAACCCUAUGCAAAGUUCUAAGAACACCAAAAUGACCAGCUGUGGGGACAGCAUGCAACAUAGUGAAUACUUCACGCCGCAAAGAUGAGGUACUGGCAUUCUCCACAGGGACGUCGGGACAGACCAUCUGCAUUACCAUGGGAUUUUCCAGGACGAUGUAAAAUAGCAAAGUCAUAUACUGAAAGAACUUCCAUCCAGCGAGCCAUUUGACCUUCAGGAUUCUUGAAGUGCAUUAACCAGUUGAGGGCACCGUGGAUUGGCAGUCGCCGAGGAGCUUGCUUAAUUGGGGCUGAAUCUCCAGUGUUAAUUUGAUGUUGAACGAUGUUUGUGACACCAAGGUCACACUUAGACUUUGCAAAUACAUCCUUG